UACAGAGGUCCCAAGCGUUGUUCGGAUUUACUGGGCGUAAAGGGUGCGUAGGCGGUCUUGUAAGUCUCAUGUGAAAUCUCCAAGCUUAACCUGGGAACUGCAUUUGUGACUGCAUGGCUGGAGUGCGGCAGAGGGGGAUGGAAUUCCGCGUGUAGCAGUGAAAUGCGUAGAUAUGCGGAGGAACACCGAUGGCGAAGGCAAUCCCCUGGGCCUGCACUGACGCUCAUGCACGAAAGCGUGGGGAGCAAACAGG
rnacentral:rRNA from 1 species